rnacentral:rRNA from 1 species
AGCGGCGGACGGGUUAGUAACGCGUGGGAACGUACCCUUGUCUACGGAAUAGCCAUUGGAAACGAUGAGUAAUACCGUAUACGCCCUUCGGGGGAAAGAUUUAUCGGACAAGGAUCGGCCCGCGUUAGAUUAGAUAGUUGGUGGGGUAAUGGCCUACCAAGUCUACGAUCUAUAGCUGGUUUUAGAGGAUGAUCAGCAACACUGGGACUGAGACACGGCCCAGACUCCUACGGGAGGCAGCAGUGGGGAAUCUUAGACAAUGGGCGCAAGCCUGAUCUAGCCAUGCCGCGUGUGUGAUGAAGGCCUUAGGGUCGUAAAGCACUUUCGCCAGGGAUGAUAAUGACAGUACCUGGUAAAGAAACCCCGGCUAACUCCGUGCCAGCAGCCGCGGUAAUACGGAGGGGGUUAGCGUUGUUCGGAAUUACUGGGCGUAAAGCGUACGUAGGCGGAUCAGAAAGUAUGGGGUGAAAUCCCGAGGCUCAACCUCGGAACUGCCUCAUAAACUCCUGGUCUUGAGUUCGAGAGAGGUGAGUGGAAUUCCAAGUGUAGAGGUGAAAUUCGUAGAUAUUUGGAGGAACACCAGUGGCGAAAGCGGCUCACUGGCUCGAUACUGACGCUGAGGUACGAAAGUGUGGGGAGCAAACAGGAUUAGAUACCCUGUAGUCCACACCGA